ACAAGCUGCCCGCCGCAUCGGAGAAGUGGAGGCGUUGCGUUUGAGAGUCUCGACCUGUCGUCUCCCUAGCACGUCUUCUUCUGCGUGACAGACUUUGUGAGCAUGGAGGGGACUCCGAAAGACACCGUCAGUAGGUACAAGAUCAUGAACGGAAGAAAGUCCAAACAGAAAUUGUUAGUUCAAGAGGCUGUAUUAAGCAUCAAUGUUAUCGAAUUGGAGAUUCACCAGAUAAUUAGGUCAUGUUUCUCUCGGAUAAAUUUCAAAGGUAAAAAUACUGCUAUCCUAGAGAAGGACGAUGAAAUCAUCUCUGCAGCAUCUAUAAGAAUACAUGGAACAAGGAUGGCGGAGAUGCCAUUUGUGGCAACCCAACAGAAGUUUGGGAGAAAAGGAUUGCUUCAAAAGUGGUAACUAGUUGCCAUUGAAUCUAUAACAAUUUACAUAAGACAAGCUGAUUUGUGAGUGUGACUCUAAAACUGAAAGCAAAGGAAGAAAUAGUUUUAAUAAUCAGAGUAUACAAGCAGGCCCCCUAGAAGAUAAGCGUAUGCAAUAUUCAGAACCAGGAACUUGGUUGAACUGAGCAAAUGGCAUAAGUGCUGCAAGCUCAAAUAGGAAUUGGCAAUUCGUAAGGCGAAAACGAGGCCCCGCUCUCCUAAGAAUGGGGCUAAUGAAGACAAGCACAUAACAUCAGUAUUUGUCUCAAGUAAUAUAUCCAAUAUUCCAAAACAGGAAUAAGAUUACGUUGAUCAAAUGGCUCUACUUGGUGCAGCUGCAAACUCAACUGGGAACAAGAAUGAUGUUACCUUGAUUGAAUGGCUGAAUGAAGUGGGGGCAACAAGCUCAACUGGGAAUUUGCAAUUGGCAAGGCAAAAAGGUUAUCCUCCUAAAAAUA